UCGAACAACCAGCCUCGUGAAUGGAGGCAACAGCGGGUCUCAUGGCUCUCUCUAAGUCACAAGGCACUUGGCCAGGGAGCUCCUCCUUCAAGGCAAUAGUUCUCCUAUCCGUUUGGGAUUGCUCUCUCCCAGUGGAGAUGGCAUCAUUAAGGCUCGUCAGUUGUCGGGUAAAGCUUAGACGCUCGACGUCGUCUUUCUUCAAGUAGGCUGCGCUCUUCUGUUCGCGGAGCGGCAGGCUUCACGGCGGUCUCCGGCCUCGGGGUCCUUCGAUUCCCACUGCCUCCGAAAAUCGCCGAUCCACGCCACUCAUCCGAAGGUCCGGAAUCUCAUCGGAGGAGAGCUUGUGGAGUCGAAGUCCAAAUAUUGGAUCGAUGUUAUAAACCCUCUUGUUUGCAGAUAGACAUGGCGUUACGUCCUGGACAUCAUAUCCAUUUCUAGGGAUAUAAUUCAUGUUUUACCUCCAAAGUCAACUUCUUUCUGAGUGAUCCAGGUGGCAUGGCAAACACAGUCAGUUGAUGUUGGAUCACUCAAAAGUUUUACAUUCAAAUACAGGAUAUGUUUGCGGAGAAAAGGAGCAUUCUGGAACCAGCUGGUGCACUCUCUCUAGCUGGUGCAGAAGCAUACUGCAAAUACUAUGGUUUGAAAGGUACAAAUGUUGUUGCAAUAACCAGUGGAGCAAACAUGAACUUUGAUAGGCUGAGGUUGGCAACUGGACUUGCUGAUGUUGGUCGGAAACGUGAGGCUAUGCUUGCAACUAUUCUACCAGAGGAGCAUGGGAGUUUUUAAGACAUUCUGUAAACUGGUAGGCUCUAUGAAUAUUACAGAGGUCAAAUACAGAUAUGAUUCAUGUAGAGAAGAUGCUCUUGUACUUUACAGUGUGGGACUUCAUACUGACACUGAACUAGGAGCCAUGGUGAACCGAAUGAAAUCUGCACAAUUUCAAACUAUCAAUCUUACUAAUUAUGACUUGGCAAAGGAUCAUCUGAGAUAGGAGGCUGGUCAAAUGUGCAAGAUGAACUACUUUGCCGAUUUAUCUUCCUAUAGAGGCCAGGUGCUCUUGUUAAAUUCUUGGACUCCUUUAGUCCACGAUGGAAAAUCAGCCUGUUCCAUUAUCGAGCACAGGGUGAGACUGGUGCAAAUGUCUUAGUAGGCAUCCAAGUGCCAAAGGAGAACAUGCAAGAAUUUAAGCGUCGAGCUCAAGAUCUUGCAUACGAGUAUACCUAUGACAACAACGAGUCCUAUUGUCUUCCGAUGCAGUGAGUAGCCAGAUCAAGUAUCUGAAGCUGUAUAUGAUUUUGAGUUGAGGGAGUAAUCUGCCACUUGAGAAUGAACAGAACCAUGUUGUCUUAUUUUUUUAUUGAUUGUUUUUAUUAUUUUUCAAAACCAUGUUGUUAUUGUAAAGUCUAUAGUAUUGAUUGUAAAGCUUAAAUUAUUGAUUCAAAUUAUUUACUUUGAUAA